rnacentral:pre_miRNA from 1 species
AAUAGAUGACGCCGUUGACUUUUUCUCACAUGUUUGACCAUUCGUCUUAUUCAAAAACUUUAUGUAAUUACAAUUUAUUUUGUUAUGAGUUGUUUUAUCACUCAUAGUACUUUAAUUGUGAUUUAUAUUUUAUACAUUUACAUAAAAUUUUUAAAUAAAACGAAUGGUCAAACAUGUGAGAAAAAGUCAACGACUUCUUAUAUU